rnacentral:rRNA from 1 species
CCAAAAUAUAUGUUAAGUGGAAAAGGAUGUGGCGUUGCCCAGACAACUAGGAUGUUGGCUUAGAAGCAGCCAUCAUUUAAAGAGUGCGUAAUAGCUCACUAGUCGAGUGACACUGCGCCGAAAAUGUACCGGGGCUAAACAUAUUACCGAAGCUGUGGAUUGUCCUUUGGACAAUGGUAGGAGAGCGUUCUAAGGGCGUUGAAGCAUGAUCGUAAGGACAUGUGGAGCGCUUAGAAGUGAGAAUGCCGGUGUGAGUAGCGAAAGACGGGUGAGAAUCCCGUCCACCGAUUGACUAAGGUUUCCAGAGGAAGGCUCGUCCGCUCUGGGUUAGUCGGGUCCUAAGCUGAGGCCGACAGGCGUAGGCGAUGGAUAACAGGUUGAUAUUCCUGUACCACCUAUAAUCGUUUUAAUCGAUGGGGGGACGCAGUAGGAUAGGCGAAGCGUGCGAUUGGAUUGCACGUCUAAGCAGUAAGGCUGAGUAUUAGGCAAAUCCGGUACUCGUUAAGGCUGAGCUGUGAUGGGGAGAAGACAUUGUGUCUUCGAGUCGUUGAUUUCACACUGCCGAGAAAAGCCUCUAGAUAGAAAAUAGGUGCCCGUACCGCAAACCGACACAGGUAGUCAAGAUGAGAAUUCUAAGGUGAGCGAGCGAACUCUCGUUAAGGAACUCGGCAAAAUGACCCCGUAACUUCGGGAGAAGGGGUGCUCUUUAGGGUUAACGCCCAGAAGAGCCGCAGUGAAUAGGCCCAAGCGACUGUUUAUCAAAAACACAGGUCUCUGCUAAACCGUAAGGUGAUGUAUAGGGGCUGACGCCUGCCCGGUGCUGGAAGGUUAAGAGGAGUGGUUAGCUUCUGCGAAGCUACGAAUCGAAGCCCCAGUAAACGGCGGCCGUAACUAUAACGGUCCUAAGGUAGCGAAAUUCCUUGUCGGGUAAGUUCCGACCCGCACGAAAGGCGUAACGAUUUGGGCACUGUCUCAACGAGAGACUCGGUGAAAUCAUAGUACCUGUGAAGAUGCAGGUUACCCGCGACAGGACGGAAAGACCCCGUGGAGCUUUACUGUAGCCUGAUAUUGAAAUUCGGCACAGCUUGUACAGGAUAGGUAGGAGCCUUUGAAACGUGAGCGCUAGCUUACGUGGAGGCGCUGGUGGG